rnacentral:lncRNA from 1 species
GUCGUGAAGAAGGCGAUGAAACGAGGUCGUCGAACUACAAUAAAUAAUAUAAGUGAAAUUAUAUAAUUAUAUAUAUAUAUAUAUAAUAAAUUAAUUAUAUAUAUAUAUAUAUAUAUAUAUAGAUCUAGAGAGAGAGAGAGAGAGAGAGAGAUACCUGCUGGGUCGGCGGCGGUCGGCGGCGGCGGAGGCGGCGGCGAAGGAAGAGCAGCAGCAGCAGGGGAGGGGGGGUAGUUUCUGUUCGCGUGGGGGGGGUUGGUUGCGGCGCAGAAACUGAAAAAAUGGGCAAACCCGCUGCCCUAUAUUUUAAAGGUUACCGACGGCAAAUGCCGCCGCUAUCUAGCGGCGGGGAUUUUGCCGCCGUUAAGUCUAUAAAUUUAAUUAAAUAAUGCGUAUUUUAACAUUAACGGCGGCGACGCCGCCGUUACAUACCGGCGGCGAGUUUGCCGUCGGUAACUGGCCGGUAAUUUCGAAAUUUCGGGUCGCCUGCAAUGCCGCCGCCUUGCCGCCGUUAGCUACCGACGGCAAAAUCGCCGCCGGUAGUUUUCGCC